rnacentral:rRNA from 1 species
CGUGGGUAACCUGCCCAAGAGAUCGGGAUAACACCUGGAAACAGAUGCUAAUACCGGAUAACAACAGAUGAUGCCUAUCAACUGUUUAAAAGAUGGUUCUGCUAUCACUCUUGGAUGGACCUGCGGUGCAUUAGCUAGUUGGUAGGGUAACGGCCUACCAAGGCGAUGAUGCAUAGCCGAGUUGAGAGACUGAUCGGCCACAUUGGGACUGAGACACGGCCCAAACUCCGUACGGGAGGCAGCAGAC